AUUGAACGCUGGCGGCAGGCUUAACACAUGCAAGUCGAGCGGGGGAGGUAGCUUGCUACUGGACCUAGCGGCGGACGGGUGAGUAAUGCUUAGGAAUCUGCCUAUUAGUGGGGGACAACAUCUCGAAAGGGAUGCUAAUACCGCAUACGUCCUACGGGAGAAAGCAGGGGAUCUUCGGACCUUGCGCUAAUAGAUGAGCCUAAGUCGGAUUAGCUAGUUGGUGGGGUAAAGGCCUACCAAGGCGACGAUCUGUGGCGGGUCUGAGAGGAUGAUCCGCCACACUGGGACUGAGACACGGCCCAGACUCCUACGGGAGGCAGCAGUGGGGAAUAUUGGACAAUGGGGGGAACCCUGAUCCAGCCAUGCCGCGUGUGUGAAGAAGGCCUUAUGGUUGUAAAGCACUUUAAGCGAGGAGGAGGCUACUCUAGUUAAUACCUAGGGAUAGUGGACGUUACUCGCAGAAUAAGCACCGGCUAACUCUGUGCCAGCCGCCGCGGUAA
rnacentral:rRNA from 1 species